rnacentral:rRNA from 1 species
UGGGGAAUAUUGCACAAUGGGCGCAAGCCUGAUGCAGCCAUGCCGCGUGUAUGAAGAAGGCCUUCGGGUUGUAAAGCACUUUCAGCGGGGAGGAAGGCGUUAAGGUUAAUAACCUUGGCGAUUGACGUUACCCGCAGAAGAAGCACCGGCUAACUCCGUCCCAGCAGCCGCGGUAAUACGGAGGGUGCAAGCGUUAAUCGGAAUUACUGGGCGUAAAGCGCACGCAGGCGGUCUGUCAAGUCGGAUGUGAAAUCCCCGGGCUCAACCUGGGAACUGCAUUCGAAACUGGCAGGCUAGAGUCUUGUAGAGGGGGGUAGAAUUCCAGGUGUAGCGGUGAAAUGCGUAGAGAUCUGGAGGAAUACCGGUGGCGAAGGCGGCCCCCUGGACAAAGACUGACGCUCAGGUGCGAAAGCGUGGGGAGCAAACAGG